rnacentral:rRNA from 1 species
CCUACGGGUGGCAGCAGUGGGGAAUAUUGGACAAUGGGGGGAACCCUGAUCCAGCCAUGCCGCGUGUGUGAAGAAGGCCCUCGGGUUGUAAAGCACUUUCAGUGAGGAAGAACGCCUGGUGGUUAAUACCCAUCAGGAAAGACAUCACUCACAGAAGAAGCACCGGCUAACUCCGUGCCAGCAGCCGCGGUAAUACGGAGGGUGCGAGCGUUAAUCGGAAUUACUGGGCGUAAAGCGCGCGUAGGUGGCUUGAUAAGCCGGUUGUGAAAGCCCCGGGCUCAACCUGGGAACGGCAUCCGGAACUGUCAAGCUAGAGUGCAGGAGAGGAAGGUAGAAUUCCCGGUGUAGCGGUGAAAUGCGUAGAGAUCGGGAGGAAUACCAGUGGCGAAGGCGGCCUUCUGGACUGACACUGACACUGAGGUGCGAAAGCGUGGGUAGCAAACAGGAUUAGAUAUCCCGGUAGUC